GAUGAACGCUGGCGGCGUGCCUAAUACAUGCAAGUCGAGCGAACGGACGAGACGCUUGCUUCUCUGAUGUUAGCGGCGGACGGGUGAGUAACACGUGGCUAACCUACCUAUAAGACUGGGAUAACUUCGGGAAACCGGAGCUAAUACCGGAUAAUAUUUUGAACCGCAUGGUUCAAAAGUGAAAGACGGUCUUGCUGUCCCUUAUAGAUGGAUCCUCGCUGCAUUAGCUAGUUGGUAAGGUAACGGCUUACCAAGGCAACGAUGCAUAGCCGACCUGAGAGGGUGAUCGGCCACACUGGAACUGAGACACGGUCCAGACUCCUACGGGAGGCAGCAGUAGGGAAUCUUCCGCAAUGGGCGAAAGCCUGACGGAGCAACGCCGCGUGAGUGAUGAAGGUCUUCGGAUCGUAAAACUCUGUUAUUAGGGAAGAACAUAUGUGUAAGUAACUGUGCACAUCUUGACGGUACCUAAUCAGAAAGCCACGGCUAACUACGUG
rnacentral:rRNA from 1 species